GUGCGUUACCGGGUUUCAUAUUUAGUGGACUAACGUUACUAAUUUCCGUUUGUAAUUAGUAAAAGAGAUUCAUCAAGCUAGCUGAUUAUGCGUGCCUUGAUUAGCGGCGUUUUAAUUAGUGAAUUUUAAAUAGUUAAUCUAUGAGUGUAGAGAUUAGGAUGGCAAUAUGCUCGGACGCGGGUUCGAUCCCCGCCGUCUCCAUAA
rnacentral:tmRNA from 1 species